GACCAAGCUACUAAGAGCAGGUGGUGGAUGCCUUGGCGUCGGGAUGCGAUGAAGGACGUGGUAAGCUGCGAUAAGCUCCGGUUAGGUGCAAACAACCAGCGACCCGGAGAUUUCCGAAUGGGGAAACCCGGCGGAGGUCAUGCUCCGUCACUCCCGGCUGAAUCCAUAGGCCGGGUAGAGCGAACCGAGGGAACUGAAACAUCUCAGUACCUCGAGGAAGAGAAAGCAAACGCGAUUCCCCAAGUAGCGGCGAGCGAACGGGGAACAGCCCAAACUGUCGACGUGUCAAGCCCGCGCGCGUUGCGUCGACGGGGUCGUGGGGCCGAUCUUCACUGGAGUGCGGUCCAAGUGGGGGCUCGAAGAGGAUUCUAGCGGAACAGCUCUGGAAAGGCUGGCCAAAGAAGGUGACAGCCCUGUAGGCGAAAGGAUCCUCUUUCCCUUCUGAUCGGUUCCCAAGUAACGCGGGACACGUGGAACCCUGCGUGAAUUCAGGAGGACCACCUCCUAAGGCUAAAUAGGACCUGACGACCGAUAGCGGACGAGUACCGUGAGGGAAAGGUGAAAAGAACCCCUGGCGGGGAGUGAAAUAGAACCUGAAACCACUUGCUUACAAGCGGUCGGAGGCCGACCCGGAGCUUCGGCUCCGGUUAGGCUGACGGCGUGCCUUUUGCAUAAUGAGCCGGCGAGUCACUGGAUGCGGCAAGGUUAAGCGUCUUAGACGCGGAGCCGCAGCGAAAGCGAGUCUGAACAGGGCGUAUAAGUUGCAUCCAGUGGACCCGAAGCCGGGUGAUCUAUCCAUGGCCAGGGUGAAGCGCGUGUAAAAGCGCGUGGAGGCCCGAACACACUAGAGUUGAAAAUCUAGGUGAUGAGCUGUGGAUAGGGGUGAAAGGCUAAUCAAACCCGGAGAUAGCUGGUUCUCCCCGAAAUGCUUUUAGGAGCAGCCUCGGGACAAUUGUGUGACGGAGGUAGAGCACUGAUUGGGCUAGGGGCCCUACCAGGUUACCAAACCCAUUCAAACUCCGAAUGCCGUUCACAUCUACCCCGGGAGUGAGGCUGCGGGCGAUAAGGUCCGUAACCGAGAGGGAAAGAACCCCAGAUCACCAGCUAAGGCCCCUAAAUCCAAGCUAAGUGUUGCUAAGGAAGUGGCGUCGUCAAAACAGCCAGGAUGUUGGCUUAGAAGCAGCCAUCAUUUAAAGAGUGCGUAAUUGCUCACUGGUCUAAUGACUCUGCGCCGAUAAUUCUCGGGACUCAAGCUUGGUGCCGAAGCUGUGAAUUCCCAGGUUCGCCUGGGACUGGUAGGGGAGCGUUCCGUUGUAGGUUGAAGCGGUGUCGAUAAGGCGCCGUCGACGAACCGGAAGUGAGAAUGCCGGCAUGAGUAGCGAUAAAACGGGUGAGAAACCCGUUCACCGAAAGCCUAAGGGUUCCUGAGGAAGGUUAAUCCUCUCAGGGUUAGUCGGAUCCUAAGCCGAGGCCGAAAGGCGUAGGCGAUGGAAAACAGGUUAAUAUUCCUGUACCACUGACAGGACGUUUGAGCUAUGGGGUGACGCAGGAGCGUAGGGCCCGCGUACUAUUGGAUGUGCGUCUAAGCUUGUAGGAGGAGGCUCCAGGCAAAUCCGGAGUCUCACUACUCCGAGGAGCGAUGGUGAGUCCCUUUUGGGGCGAAGUGACCCGAAGCCGACUGCCGAGAAAAACCUCUAUGCGAGUUCUGUGGGUGUCCGUACCGUAGACCGACACAGGUAGGCAGGGUGAGAAACCUAAGGUGCUCGAGUGAGUUCUCGGGAAGGAACUCGGCAAAAUGACCCCGUAACUUCGGGACAAGGGGUGCCUCCAAAGGAUAGCUCCUCGCGGGCGAAAGUAUGGAGGCCGCAGAGAAUCGGCCCAAGCGACUGUUUACCAAAAACACAGGACUCUGCUAAGCCGAUGAGGCGACGUAUAGGGUCUGACACCUGCCCGGUGCCGGAAGGUUAAGGGGAGGGGUUAGCCGCAAGGCGAAGCUCUGAACCGAAGCCCCGGUAAACGGCGGCCGUAACUAUAGACCACCUGUAGUUACGCUGAAAAACCUGGCUAUUUGCUGGAAAACCCGUGAAUCCUGAGGUACUCGCCCCGUGGGGCAGUGACAAUCCUCCAGGUGCGGGCAAUCAGCAGGAAAGACUCCUUCGGACCUCGUCAUUCACGCAUCGAUCGAGGAGAUCUGCUAAUGAGACUCGAUCUCCGCAACGUGCCGCCUGCCCUCGGUUACUACCUCGCUGGUUUCACCGAUGGGGAGGGAAGCUUCAAUGUCUGCUUUCGCAGGCGUAGGAGCUCACGAACGGCAUGGAAAGUCUCACUCUGUUUCAAUGUUUCUCAGAAGGACGAGGCGAUCUUGCGCCUCUUUCAGAGAACCUUGGAUUGUGGGACGGUACGUGGAAGGCGCGAUGGCGUAUGGUACUUCGAAGUCAACGGCUUCGAUUCCAUAUGUCGGAAUGUCAUCCCGUUCUUCACGCGAUUCCCAUUUCUGUCUGCAAAGAAACAGCGCGACUUUGCUUCUUUUGUCAGACUCGCAAGUCUGAUAGGGGAAGGGCGUCAUCUCCAAGCAGACGGUUUGAGGGAGAUCGUGAAGAUCCGAUCGGGCAUGAAUGAUGGAGGCGCCGGCCGACGCAAGUACUCCGAUGAGGAGAUACUUCUCGAGCCGGCAGGAGGAGAAUCCCCAGAGGCCAUAUGCCAGGCGCGACAGGAGCUAGGAAUGCCGCCGCUCCUGAAACGCGAUGAGAUGGUCCGAUCUCCGUAGCGAUACGGAGGGCCUUUUCGAAGGCCGCGAGAGCGGAUGAGAAUCUGUUCUUGGGCAACACAAAUGAACGGUCCUAAGGUUAACGAACGCUAGCCUUAGUAAAACCAAACCAUAUGCGGGAAACUCCUCGCACAGCCGUCUGGUACUCGCCGGCUUCGGCCGGCAGUCACAAGCCAGCGGACAUGGGGACAAUCCGCAGGGAAGGCCCGGAGCGAUCCGGGAACCCUCAGAGACUUGAUGUUUGGGGUCGACGAUGAAACUAUCGACGGAAUGGAUCGUGGGCUUCGUGGAUGGCGAAGGGUGUUUUCAUGUCGGAAUCAAUCCGCGGACCGAUAUGGCGAGCGGAUCCCAGGUUCUGCCGGAAUUCACCGUCGUCCAGCACGAGCGAGAUGUACAAGUCCUGCAUGCGCUCAAGGCGCAUUUCGGAUGCGGCGUGGUGCGCAAGAACCACGGCGACCGGAUGGCCUACCGCGUGCGCGGGCAUGAACACCUGCUUGCGCGAAUCCUGCCGUUCUUCGAAAAGCAUCCUUUGAAAACCAGCAAACGAAUCGACUUUGAACGCUUCCGGAAAGUCGUCCGCCUGAUGGCGGACGGCGUGCAUCUGGAGCGCGAGGGAGUCGAGAGGAUUCGCGAGUUGGCGGAAGGGAUGAAUCGUGGUCGAUCAAGGUAAAGUCCGGCCUUCCUGGAAACAGGAGGGAGCAACCGAGCGAAAUUCCUUGUCGGGUAAGUUCCGACCUGCACGAAUGGUGUAACGAUUUGGGCGCUGUCUCCCCGAGAAGCUCGGCGAAAUUGAAGCGGCGGUGAAGAUACCGUCUACCCGCGACUGGACAGGAAGACCCCGUGGACCUUUACUGCACCCUGAUAUUGGGUUCUGGCGUUUCAUGUGUAGGAUAGGUGGGAGGCUUUGAAGCGUGGGCGCCAGCCUGCGUGGAGCCAGCCUUGAAAUACCACCCUUGGGUCGUCGGGAUUCUAACCUGGCGCCGUGAAUCCGGCGCGGGGACAUUGUCAGGCGGGCAGUUUGACUGGGGCGGUCGCCUCCAAAAGAGUAACGGAGGCGCACAAAGGUUCCCUCAGCGCGGUUGGUAAUCGCGCGUGGAGUGUAAAGGCAUAAGGGAGCUUGACUGCGAGACCGACGGGUCGAGCAGGUGCGAAAGCAGGUCUUAGUGAUCUGGCGGUUCUGAGUGGAAGGGCCGUCACUUAACGGAUAAAAGGUACCCCGGGGAUAACAGGCUGAUCCCUCUCGAGAGUUCACAUCGACGGGGGGGUUUGGCACCUCGAUGUCGGCUCAUCGCAUCCUGGGGCUGGAGAAGGUCCCAAGGGUUUGGCUGUUCGCCAAUUAAAGCGGUACGUGAGCUGGGUUCAGAACGUCGUGAGACAGUUCGGUCCCUAUCCAUCGUGGGCGGAGGAGACUUGAGGGGGGCUGUCCCUCGUACGAGAGGACUGGGAUGGACCAACCUCUAGUGUACCGGUUGUCGCGCCAGCGGCAUCGCCGGGUAGCUAUGUUGGGACUGGAUAAGCGCUGAAAGCAUCUAAGCGCGAAGCCAACCCCGAGAUGAGGUCUCCCGGGUCGCAAGACCCCUAAAGGCCCCUCCUAGACUAGGAGGUUGAUAGGCCGCAGGUGUAAGCACAGUAAUGUGUUCAGCCGAGCGGUACUAAUAGGCCGUGCGGCUUGGUCGG
rnacentral:rRNA from 1 species